rnacentral:lncRNA from 10 species
UAUUGUCUGUAAAAGGUAUAAUUACCCUGCUAAUGCUGUACAUACAGCUUGUGACCAGAGAGAGAAUAAAGCCAUGUUGCAACUACCUAUGAUUCCUCAAGUGUUUUUCCAGCUACCCACCACCUGCCCACAAACUCCCCUCAGACCUCAGCUUGGGCUCGAACCUGACAACUGCAUAGCUGGCAGCAUCCCAAAGUGAGUGAGCCUUCAGUCCCCGCUGAUUCCUGUUCAGCCAUGUGGCCGAAACAUGGGUUGCGGUACCCAGUGGCAGCUGCACUGGUCAGAUGGGCUCUGGUGGAAACCUGGGCAGCGAUAGAUGGGUCCCCUAUGAACAUGGAGAAGGCACUGAAGCAGCUGGAAGCACAGAGCAGUGAGAAAGAGUGAGCCUUUGCCGGCAGAGUUGGAUGGGCAUUUUGGACUGUGCUACAAGAAGUACACACCCAGCUCCUGAGGGAUCAGCACAGGUUAACACGCUCCACCUGUAUCAUGGACUGGGUCCACACCUACACUGCAGUGACCAAUAUUUCCAACAGUUGGAUCUGCACCACCCCUCCAACAACAGCCAUGAAUGGCUUGCCUUGGCACAUACAUUCAGUGUCUGCAGAGAACUGGACAUGGGUGGAGAUAUGGGGUCCCAUGGCUGACUCCUGGAAUGAAUGUGGCAAGCUUUGGACAAAGCAAGUUCCACAGUGUGCCUGCUCCCUGGCUGACCGGUAGCAUUUAUGAUGGGUGGGGCUGUCUAGUGGGGGAACAUGUAGUACCCCCAGCCCAAGCACCAUGGUGAAUAGAUCAACAUUGGGGUAAUACCACUGUGAGAUGGAUACCUGUCACAGCCUGUGUAAGCAUAACACAUCACCACACCAAAGGUAUGAUGGAACAAGUGGCCCCACCAAGGUCGGGCCCUGAAGGACUUUGUGCUCCUUGAGAGUUGAUGGAUCUGUGGGGACACAGGGUUGCCUUACCUACCAGUGAACUGGACUGGAUGUUGUACCUGGGGGUGGCCUUAUGUACCUGCCACUGUUCUCCCCACGUUGUGCAGACACCAGCAUAACUGGGAGGUGCUAUGCUCUCGGAUUUUGUGAGUGCAUUGAGCCCCCUGCCCCUUAGCAGUGACUACCCUAUAGUGGGUGUCAUAACUAUAGAAGCACAAAUUACUGCUCUUGCAGACCACACCACUCAUGCUCUGAAUUAUACCCUAGUGGCCCUCUUCCUGUUAACAGAUGAGGCUGAUCAGAUCAGAAAGGUGGUGUGGUAAAACCAAAUGGUCUUAAACAUAGUAACUGUUGCCAAAGGAGGCACCUGUGUCCUUUUAGGAGCACAAUGUUGUACCUUUAUCCCUGACAAUCAGAACAUAACAGCAGCCCUGCAAGGUGUACCUUUAUCCCUGACAAUCAGAACAUAACAGCAGCCCUGCAAGGAGAUAAAGGGAGAUAAGGGCAGUUGAGAGCCUUACUGAUGAUCCCCUGCAGAGAUGGUGGGCAUCCCUGAGAUCUGGCCUAUGCUCGACCCUAGUAGUCAUAAGUAGCAUACCUGGGAUCCAGGUAGUGAGCUGUUGCUCUCUGUAUUGUUCUUGUUGGUUAUGGAUUCAGGACUCCACCCUAUGGGCACAUGUCCCUACCCAGAAGACACCCUUGGCCUAGGGGAUGGAGUAUAAGGGAGAUGGCUACACUUUAGUCAGGAGUAAGCUGAGGCAGCCUUCUGGGGAAGCAUGACUCAGCAAGUUUGGAGCACAGGUGCCAACCUUACACAUUAUGUAACCAUGCCACAUGAGGCACAUUAGGUAACCACUCAUGGGAGCUCAUGGUUGGCUCAGAGCCACUAUUGUCUGUAAAAGGUAUAAUUACCCUGCUAAUGCUGUACAUACAGCUUGUGACCAGAGAGAGAAUAAAGCCAUGUUGCAAC